rnacentral:rRNA from 1 species
AUACGUAGGGAGCGAGCGUUGUCCGGAAUUACUGGGUGUAAAGGGAGCGUAGGCGGGAUGGCAAGUCAGAUGUGAAAACUAUGGGCUCAACCCAUAGACUGCAUUUGAAACUGUUGUUCUUGAGUGAAGAAGAGGUAAGUGGAAUUCCUGGUGUAGCGGUGAAAUGCGUAGAUAUCAGGAGGAACAUCGGGGGCGAAGGCGGCUUACUGGGCUGUUACCGGCGCUGAGGCUCGAAAGCGUGGGGAGGAAACAGGAUUAGAUUCCCUUGUAGUCCACGUUGUAAACGAUUAUUACUAUGUGUGGGGGGACUGACCCCUUCCGUGCCGCAGUUAACACAAUAAGUAAUCCACCUGGGGAGUACGGCCGCAAGGUUGAAACUCAAAAGAAUUGACGGGG